GACGAACGCUGGCGGCAUGCCUAAUACAUGCAAGUCGAACGCUUUAAUUUCACCGGGUGCUUGCACCCAUCGAAGUUAAGGAGUGGCGGACGGGUGAGUAACACGUGGGUAACCUGCCCAUAAGAGGGGGAUAACAUUCGGAAACGGAUGCUAAUACCGCAUAUUUCUAAUCGUCUCCUGACGAAUGGAAGAAAGGUGGCUUCGGCUACCGCUUAUGGAUGGACCCGCGGCGUAUUAGCUAGUUGGUGAGGUAAUGGCUCACCAAGGCGAUGAGACGUAGCCGACCUGAGAGGGUAACCGGCCACACCGGGACUGAGACACAGCCCAG
rnacentral:rRNA from 1 species